AUAAGUGGGGCUUGGAUUUGUGUAGGUGACUUUAAUGAUCUUACUAGCGAGCAGGAAAAGUGGGGAGGAAGGCUAAAAGCAAUCAGGAAAAUCUUGAAUUUUUAGAAACAAAUCUCAGACUGUUGCUUAAUAGACCUGGGUUUCAAUGGAUCUGAGUACACUUGGUGUAAUAAAUGCACUAAUAAAGCUCAUGUCAAGGAGUAGUUGGACAAAGCUCUAGCAAAUGUAGCUUUACGAGAAGCAUUUCCCAAAGCUCAGGAAGGUGUGCCCUCCAGGGUGGAUGCCCUCAUCAACACUUUCUUUAUCUUCCGUUCUAUCUCGUGAUGCAGCCACGUCUGGACGAUCUAACAGUACCCCUCCUGCUGCCAACUAAUCUGAUUUCCAUGACCGGGGAGGAAUUGCCUAUGCGCUGUCUUUGUUUCAUUCCCUUGUUUCCUUUUAGCUUUUUGGUGUUUCUUUUGACUCUUGCUGUUUAUCUUUUGUCCUUUGCUUGGACUCUUGUUUGGUCGAACUCCUACGCUGUUGUGGCUCUUUUAUUUGAAUGCUUCUCUUGGUCCAAAAAACAAAACUCUCUUCA